UGAGGAAUAUUGGACAAUGGAGGCAACUCUGAUCCAGCCAUGCCGCGUGAAGGACUAAGGCCCUAUGGGCUGUAAACUUCUUUAGACGCAGAGCAAUAAGGGCCACGUGUGGUCCGAUGAGAGUAUGCGUAGAAUAAGCAACGGCUAAUUACGUGCCAGCAGCCGCGGUAACACGUAAGUUGCGAGCGUUGUUCGGAAUUAUUGGGCGUAAAGGGCAUGUAGGCGGUAUUGCAAGCCUGGUGUGAAAGGCAGGGGCUCAACCUCUGGACUGCGCUGGGAACUGCGAUACUAGAGUCGCUGAGGGGCAAUCAGAAUUCCAGGUGUAGGGGUGAAAUCUGUAGAUAUCUGGAAGAAUACCAAUGGCGAAGGCAGGUUGCCAGCAGAUGACUGACGCUGAGGUGCGAAGGUGCGGGGAGCAAACAGGAUUA
rnacentral:rRNA from 1 species